rnacentral:rRNA from 1 species
GACGAACGCUGGCGGCGUGCCUAAUACAUGCAAGUCGAACGCUGAAGGAGGAGCUUGCUUCUCCGGAUGAGUUGCGAACGGGUGAGUAACGCGUAGGUAACCUGCCUGGUAGCGGGGGAUAACUAUUGGAAACGAUAGCUAAUACCGCAUAACAGUAGAUGUUGCAUGACAUUUGCUUAAAAGGUGCAAUUGCAUCACUACCAGAUGGACCUGCGUUGUAUUAGCUAGUUGGUGAGGUAACGGCUCACCAAGGCGACGAUACAUAGCCGACCUGAGAGGGUGAUCGGCCACACUGGGACUGAGACACGGCCCAGACUCCUACGGGAGGCAGCAGUAGGGAAUCUUCGGCAAUGGACGGAAGUCUGACCGAGCAACGCCGCGUGAGGGAAGAAGGUUUUCGGAUCGUAAAGCUCUGUUGUAAGAGAAGAACGAGUGUGAGAGUGGAAAGUUCACACUGUGACGGUAUCUUACCAGAAAGGGACGGCUAACUACGUG